CGUGUAGGCGGCUGGGUAAGUCAGAUGUGAAAGUCCCGGGCUUAACUCGGUAAGUGCAUUUGAUACUGCUCAGCUAGAGUAAGGGAGAGGAAAGUGGAAUUCCUGGUGUAGGGGUGAAAUUAGUAGAUAUCAGGAGGAACACCGGUGGCGAAGGCGGCUUUCUGGCCCUAUACUGACGCUGAGACGCGAAAGCGUGGGUAGCAAACAGGAUUAGAUACCCUGGUAGUCC
rnacentral:rRNA from 1 species